GCGAUCUCAGUUGCUUCCUCGGCCAUCGAAUUCAUCGGAAACCUUUCUCAGCAUCUGGUUUUCUGUCGGCGAUCUAGAGAGAGACAUCGAGGUCUUCUCUUUCUCAGGUGCUUUGGGUUAGUUGUUUAGAUUGGUGCUCAGAAAUAAGGGUCCAUCUGAAACCAAACAAGCAAUGAAGCUUCUGUCUGGUCGGAAUUAAGGAUUUAGUAGUAUAUGGAUUUCAUUGUGCUAAUGAGUUACACAAGAGUGAAGAUUUGGACCUUGGAGCAACAAGUUAAUAUUGGUAGGUGUCUUUGCAAUGCCUUUAUGUGUCUCACAAGUUUUUUUAAUUAGAUCUUUCAUGUAUUCAUAUGCAAUUUGUUUUACUGAGAGCUCUUUAAACAUAUAUGCAUAAUGACAAAGUUUGGACUAUGGACUAUGUAAUUGUUUGUUGUGGCAUGUUUGUCCCUUGCAGCCUAAAUGCGCA